rnacentral:rRNA from 1 species
UGGGGAAUAUUGGACAAUGGGCGCAAGCCUGAUCCAGCCAUGCCGCGUGAGUGAUGAAGGCCCUAGGGUUGUAAAGCUCUUUCACCGGUGAAGAUAAUGACGGUAACCGGAGAAGAAGCCCCGGCUAACUUCGUGCCAGCAGCCGCGGUAAUACGAAGGGGGCUAGCGUUGUUCGGAUUUACUGGGCGUAAAGCGCACGUAGGCGGACUAUUAAGUCAGGGGUGAAAUCCCGGGGCUCAACCCCGGAACUGCCUUUGAUACUGGUAGUCUUGAGUUCGAGAGAGGUGAAUGGAAUUCCGAGUGUAGAGGUGAAAUUCGUAGAUAUUCGGAGGAACACCAGUGGCGAAGGCGGCUCACUGGCUCGAUACUGACGCUGAGGUGCGAAAGCGUGAGGAGCAAACAGG